CGGCGGAUAAAUCAACGUUACGGUCGGCACUCGGGUUUGAAAAAUUAUCCUCGGCCAGGUACGGGCGCGCAAAAAUAAUAUAUAUAAAUGUGCGCCGGGGAAAAGUCGGAAACGACGUUGGCGGAAAUCUAAAACCGCCGAAACUUUAUACACGACGCUCGAUUGUUUAACCGGAGCGCGAUAUAUUAUGCAUGGUCUCGACGGCGUGAAUAUAAUUUGGAGAAAAUUAGACGCGAGGUAUAAAUGUAAAUAACAUUUUCUGCCUGCGGUCCUCGGUCUGUCCGUUGAUUGGCCGCGACUUACCGCGCUGUCCCGUCAAAACGCAAAUCCUUCAGCUCUCGAUCAAUUUCCAUUACCGCAUUGCCCUCAAGAAUUUGCGGUGUACAUUUCUCCUGUCACCUCUUACGGAACCUUCGGCAGUCAAGUUCGACUAAUAGUCUCGGAUUAUUUUCCCCGUAGACGAACAAAUUAUUUAUUGAUUUGUGCCCGCCCGGCCCUGCCCGUUUCCGUUCGUGUUUAUUUUAAAGGCGCCGAUCGCCGUUUGUUUAAUUCGCGUACUGUUCUUCGACGUCCAUAUCGAGCCUAUCAAUUCCGCAAUGUUUUUCCGCCCGUCCGAAAGGCCCGAACGAAAAUCAUUAUAAAUAAAAUACGACCUGCGGCGCACACAAAUAAUAAUGUAUCACGAACACUCAUACUCGUAUUGUGUACACGUCUAUAUUAUCGUGUUGUGCGCGUCGGUUUCUUUCACCGGAACACAAAAGCGAACUUUCGACCCGUGCGAUUUCGAGGGGUGAAAAAACUUUUUUUCGUGAUUCAUUUUGCGCGCGCCGGAGGCUAUUGAAAGGCGCGCGGUCAUGCAACACAAAUAGCAUUGCGGCGCAGGUGACUCAUUCGGAAC